UGAACACACUAUUUGGCCCUUCGUAC
rnacentral:piRNA from 1 species